CCUAAGUGCCACUAUCUGUGCUGAGUUUUUCAAAGGUCAGAGCAGAUUGAACCAUUGUGGUUUCAUUUUCCCUGAUUUUGAUUUUUCUUAUGGGGAACCUGUGUGGCUGCAUUCAAGGUGACUCGAAGAAGCCUUCCAAAAAGCAUGUGAAAAGGAAGCCCUACUCUACUACCAAGGUGACUUCAGGGAGCACAUUCAAUGGUACGUAUUCUGGAAUCACUCACUGGUUGUUAGAAAAGGAUUCUACAGGAAAUCUGGAGCUUAACUGCUGGCUUUUGUCUGGAGAGCCUCCAUGAUCCAAGACAUCUGGUGGGAAUGAGGAUGUAGGGUAUAGUAAAAGAAACUGGUUUUCCUGGUGACAUACUCUUUUUAUCUAUGUAUAGUUUCUGGGAACAUGUUCACAUUAGGUUGUGUGUGGGUAUGUGUGUAUUAGGGCGGGGGUGGGGUGAGGUGGUCUGUGUGCAAGUCUGCAUGAUUUGCUUGUGAAUGUGUGUCUAUGUGUGUUUCCCCUAGGAAAAAAAUGUUGUGUUUACCCAGCACAACUCUCAGUGCCAUU
rnacentral:lncRNA from 10 species